CGGGUCGGGGGCGGGGCCGCGUGCUGAGCCGCAUGCCGAGCAGCGUGCGGCGGCCGCGGACCUCCCGGAAGCGCCGCUUGGGGGCGCCCCGCGAGCGGCGUCGGCGGCACUUGUCCUUUUACGGCGAGUCCCGGCGCCCCAGCGGGCGUCCACCGCUCCUCGGCACCAGCGCCGGGCGGAGGAGCGCGGGGCGGCCGGAUCGUCAUCUAGGCCGGGAGCACGGCGCGGCCGAGGCACGCGACCAGGCGUCGGCCGCUCUGGAAGCAGCUUAGGAGCGAGCCCCAGCGCGAGGAUAACGGUGUCGGCACGCGGCAGCCCCCGGGGCACGAGCCGCAGCGGGUCUGCUGCCUCUCUCCCCUCGUGGCAGCAGCGCCCCUCCCCUCCCCCCAGCACGCGGCACGUGGGGACCGCGCUUAAGCCCCGACAGCUCUCCCCGCACAGCCCGAACAGCCACGGAGAGAAAGUCGGGGGGUCGGGACCCUCUGUGCCCGCAUCCGGGGAGCUUUGAGUGGAAUGAGUUACACCGAGCUGCGGCUGAGGAGCGGGCUGUUUUUAGUGAACAGAAUGAGUAACUGCUCCGGCCAGGAAUGUCCCGUGUAACGAGAUUUCAGGUCAAGAUGAGGUCACAUUUGAAAGCUGUAAGAGAACCUCAGAACUAUUUUUACAUUAAGCGGAGAAAUUGAGGCAAAAAUCCAGAACCAUCAAAGUGAAAAAGAACAUCCCGCAUUUAUCUCUUAUUUCUUUCAAAGAAAUAAAGAGGACAAAAAGCAGCAUUCCCAGUGAAAAGACGUCUUCAUACACUGCCUCUGUCAGCAAUGAAUCAAAGAGUAGAAGAUCUUUAGCAGUGGAGGCUGAAAGAGGCUUGGCUGAGUGACUACUGAAAGGAUACCUGAGAGAGUAUUGGAAAUCUGUGUCAAAAUCCAUCUCUUUGGCUGACCUUUGGGAAGGCUCCGUUGAUGUGUUCUGACUUUGUAGCCUUGAAGAUAAUGCAACGUGGCCCCAGUGACCCCUUUGUUUUAGAAGAAAGCGAAGUUGGAUAGAGUGAUAAACAAUUGGAACUGUUUAGUUGGCAGCCAUCCUGGCAAAGAAGCCUGUCAGUGCCUAUGUAUAAUUUCCAUGGAAAUAAAUAAGAGGCAUUGCUUUCAGAGUGACACACUGAAACAGCUCUCCAUUGCUACCAGUAGAGAGGAACUUAUGCCCUAUGUUGCAGAAAGCACUCGGUAACACCAGGAUUCAACUGUUUCUCCUGCAGAACGGUAUGGUUUCUGAUGCUGCUUCUUGUUGGAAUCUUGUGUCAGGGUUGAAGGGAGGUUUCUGUCACUCACGGCCUGCUGUCCUUCUGUGUCAGAGGAAACCCAGUGUAAUGAGACAUGCUGCUAAGAAGGUUCUGGAGGAGGCUAGAGCACUCUUACCUGCAAUACCUGAGGAAUGUGCUUUUGUAGAACACUCAAAACGUACUUAUGAUUCUUCGGGCACAUAAGGCUGGACAGUCCAUUCACAGAUGGCCUUGAAGUCUUCAGCUUCUCUUGGUUGUCCUUCACAUUCUCUGAGUUUUUACUUAUUAGGCAGAAAAAGUGUUUCAUGGAGAUUCAUAGAAUGGCUUGUGUUGGAAGGGACCUCAAGGAUCAUCAAGCUCCAGUCCCCCUGCCGCAUGCAGGGCCACCAACCUCCAUAUCUAAUACUAGACAUAUAGACUUAUACAUACAGACUACACUAAGUAAUCUAUUAGAGCUUGAGAUAAUGGAAAGUCAUUUGGAAACUGGGAUCAAAUGAGAAAGUUGCACUUGGGCAAUGCAUAAUGUGUACAUGCUAAAGAUUGGUCAAGAUGAAUACUCUCAUCCAGAAGUCCUGUAGAUACAUCUUCACAAUGGGAAGUAUUCCACUGAAGCUACCUGUCCAUAUUAACAUGGCACAGAAUCCACAAAUGCUUCACUCCACUUCUCAGGCAAGCAGUGGAAGAAUUCUUGUAUCUUUCAUCUGUUGCUGCAAAGUGGUGCACAAGUCAAAAUCACAAUUGAAAAGUUAACAGUUGAUCAACCUUACUAUAAGCCUACUGAUACAAGAUCUGCAGAAAGGAAGGACUGGAUUAUUUGGGGGAAGAAAGCAAAAACAUUCAGAUCCUACAUCCAGAAGAAUUGCUGUUAAUGUUUACAGGUUUCAUGUAUGUUCUUUUGCCUGAGCUGUGCUUUGGGGUGCAUUGGCUCUUUUCUCUGGAGUAAAACAUGAAAAAUCUUCCUUUCUUUGGUGAUCUCCAGAGCUUUUUAAAGGUACGGUAGAACAAUAGUACUCUCACAGUAGUUUUAAUGGGACAGAAGUGUUGCUGUGUUGUCUUACAGAUUUUAUCAAAUUGUGCUUAGAAUUCAUUCAUUUUGAUCACUCAUAUUAUAGACAAAAUUCUUCUUGUAGGAUGUUUAUAUGUCCCAGAGCAUUCAUAAUGCACUGUGUUCAGCCAUCUACAAGCAUUUAAUUACAGACCGUCUGUUUCAUGUAAAAAAUAUUUGCCAAGACUCUUUUGGCAGAGUAAGGAGUGAACUUCGUAAAGGAAAACCAAGUUGCUCAUCGGUGGUGGCAGCAAAAAUGAGGAAAAGAACUACCCAAGAGUUUCUUGAAGAUUCCAGUUGAUGGAUCCUGGCCUGAUUGGGUCUCUUAUAUAAACCUUGAUGGAAUGGUGCUAAAUUUUGCAUGGAAACCUUUAUUUUUUUCCCCACUUCAACAACUGUAGCUGAAUGUACAUUUAAAAAUGGUAUUUGAAAAUUAAACUCAUAAGACAUCAUUAUACAAGACAUAAGCACAAACUUAGUACAGAAAGGGAGAAAGCAUCCAGUCUUUGAAAAUAAUGUUUGUGCCUUGUGCUUUUUUAAAACAUAAACAUAGAUUAUCAGCACACUACUAAAGUGAGGCUGCAUCUCACCUUCCACAGUCUCACAGCAUAAAAAUAGCAUAUUUGAACUUACCAGAAGAUUGAUGUUUCUUUGCUUUCGUAUUACUUUUUCCUUUGUAUUUUAUGAAAAUGUAUGCCUUGCUGUCCAAUGUUGAAAAUAUCCACUGAGGUGAUUUUAAAGUUAAACCUGAAGAUUCAAGUUGGAAGUUACUGAAGGAUGAGUUUGGGUUUUUUCAAAGUGCUAUUAUUUUGACUCCUUGAGGGCUCCACAUGAAUACUUUACCUCUCCUUUUCUUUCUUUGGUUUGAGAUUCAUAACUGCAGCUGCUGUGCAAAGUAAAGUUUCCAUUGAGGACUAGCUGACCAAAUUUGUCAUGCUGAAAGUGAAAGUUGUAUCAGAAAGAGUGGGGUUUCCUUCAGUGCAGCAAGUCUGAGUACUGGAGCAGGUUCUAUUUCAGUCAUCCCUCCACUUCAGCAUAUAUCAACAGAUGGAAUCAGUGCAUCUUUUCUGUUGUACUUCAGCCUCCUACUCACUGACCACAGCAGGGACUAUGUCACGUCAUUGAGCACCAAGAGACACUGGAGAGAGGGAGUCCAACUGCCCACAGAGGCCCUGAGGUGCCUGGAGGAGGGAAACACCCCAGGGUAUCUCAUCUUCCUCCUCCACCCUCCUCCCAAAGCCAAAUGCCCAGAAUGUGCUGAGCUGAACUGAAACCCUGCCCUGUGGCCUUGGGGAGCAGUCAGCUAUGUGGCUGUAGACACCAUAUGCUGAGGGAGCACCACCUUCCUGCUUUCACUGGCAGAAGUGAGUUUCCCUUAAAAACCAGCAAAUUAUGCAGUUUCACACCUGACUCUUCAGUUGAGCAGGUGGAAAUGUCCUUUUCUGGGCCUCAACAGUAAAGGAGCCAAAGGCCAGGGGUCAGCUAUUAAGUUCAGCUGUUCCCUAUUGCAGGUUCAACUCAUGCUCCCUGGCCUGGCUGUGCUCUGAGGCACCUUGAGGCACUUGUGCCUUUGCGGUAUGAGCUCAUUUGUUGUCAUUUCCACUUUGGGGUGGGAAAAAAGGUCAUAAGAAGAGAUCAGUAAAUGUGCAGCAUUCAUAAAGCAAGGCCGCUUCAAAACAGACACGUUGCAGUGUUAUCAUAUCCAGGAAAACAGCAACAGACAGCGUAACUUUAAAAUACCACCCAGAAACUCUUGCUUGGAAAGGACAACUCACAGCAUCAAAGCCUGGACGUACUUGCCAAACCAUGCUUUAACUUACUGCCAAGACACCAGAUUUAUCCCCUUAGUAGCAAUGAUGCGCUAGGCAAGAUGGUGAUUGCUACAGCAAAGUGGGGAUGGGUUUGUUUCACAGUGGUCACGAUGACAGAAGGAGCCCUGCAGAUAUUAAUACUUGAUGAGAAAGGUACAUGAAAUUAGCCUGUGAACUGUUUGUGGAUAAAUAUCUCUCAAGCAUACAAUAAGAAUUCAAGCAAAUUAAUUUAACAGCUAGAAGUCAAAUGUAAUGAAAAAAUAUUUAUGAAAAUUUUGUAUGUUUAGGUGAAUAGUUUCAAACCAAAAAUAAAUGAGAAAUAAAUACAGCCUAGUAGAAAUUGGACUGUGUUUAGAUUCUGAUAAUCUGAAAGGGCAUUUUUUAGCAUAAGGAUAAGUUCAGGUGAUUAUUUAAAGAAUAAGAUCAGAAUGGCUGUUCUUGACUUUAAUUUGGAGCCAAAAUAUUCUAUGUAAAGAACUUGUAAAAUCCAUGUCCCCUUUAGUUCUACAGUCAGUAAUUACUCACAGGAUAGAGUAUUCAGAUUUAUGAGGAAGAAGGAGAGAGUGGCAGUAAGUUGUUACUUCUAUUUCCAGCCAAUGUUUGCAAAUUCAAUGGCAAUAACAAACCAAAAACCUGACUUUCUCCCUUCAAACCGCUCUAUAUCUGUGGUCAAAAAUGUAUAGCUAUGUUUUACAUCUUUUUUAGCACAUAAACAUUUAAGGAUACUUACCUCAACCACACGACAAUUUUCUGAGCCUUGCAAGUCUUACAAAUCCCUAAUCACAGUUGGAUGUAUUCAGUAAUGUAGAAUUAAGGAGUAACAGCUGAAAUGCACCUGGGUUAGGUGGCUACUGAGGUUAUAUGGUGUCGAAAUAAUAAGGUGUGGGUCUGGUUAGAGAGGGACCAGGCAUCUGUUCCCACCUCAGCUACAACUUCCCAUACUAGUACUCAUAUUGAGUACUGAGUAUUAUAGUACUGAGGAUUAUAGCACUAGUGAUUGUGCUAUAACAGUGAUUGUGAUUACUGAGGUAAUCUAAACAGAGAACUUUGCUUCUCUGGAAGUGGAGAAUAACUACUGUAUUUUAGUGACAUGCUGAUGGAACCUCAGUUUGGAUGUCCAAAGAUGUAGUUCCUGGCUGAUGCAUAUACAAGUAAAUUGUUACUGACUUAAUUUUGUCUUAAUGGGAUUCUUUUGUUGACAAGGUAAAUUUGUGACUUCUGAGCCGAGAAUUGUCUUUAGCUGGUGACAGCUUUCAUUUAGAGCAAGCAUUAUACUUAUUACCAUGACAGAGGCCCUUAAACAGGAAGAUGGAUAAAUUCUACUAGCAAGGAAUGGUAGCUGGCCUCUUGAUAACAUAUGGCAUAGCAUUGAACAACUUCCUGGAAACCUUAGCAGUGCAGAGGUUUGAAAGAACUGGACUGGCCUGCAGUUCAUAAACAUCAUAGGCUGAAUAAGCUGCUUCUAACUGCAUCAGAAACUUUUGCUCAUAUAUUUAGACUUUGCUUCUAGAACUAAAAGUGCUAAAAAGUGGCAAGACUAAAAAGGCAGCACAGCAAUAAAAAUUCCAUUUUGACUCUGGGGAGAGCCUCAGAGAUGUUGUGGUCAGAAUUUUCUCCAUUAUUUGCAAGUUCUCAAAGAAGAAUUUUCUUCAUUCUGGAUUAGCUUUUUGCAAAAUCUAUUAAGACUUUUAAUUUCAUUUAAAAAUAUUCUUAUGUUUUGAAACUUAGUCUGCAGGAAGUUUAACCAGACCUUAAUUAAGGACUCUGAGUGUGACAGAAGCUUGUGUAUCAACAAGGUGCUUUGCUUGUCUGCCCAAUAAAAAUACAAGGAGUAAUGCCUGUUUGGGGAGUAAGCAGAGCAGAAGCGAAGCAGGGAGGGGGGCACAAAUUAUGAGCUGCUUUGGUCUCCAUUGUCAGGAAGUACUUCACCACUUCCAUUGCCUCACUACAUCUCUUCUAUUAGAAAGCCUUUAUAAAUUACAGGAAUAAGUGGCCCUUAGCAAAUAACUUCAAAACAGAGCAACUAAAUAGGACUGAAGGAGAAUGGGAAACUCCAUUCUGCUACUGCUAAAGCAUAGUUCUGAGCUGCUGGCAUUUUUUCCCCCUCUCAGCUCAGGAUGAAAGACAAAAAUGUUAAUAAUUUCCACAAAUUGAAAAUCUGAAAAAUGUGAGCUGAGGUCAGCUGGAACAUUUCGUUUCUAUAAUUUUGUAAUAUCUUUUGACAAUGCUGAUCUGUCUUUAAUCAUUUUAUGCCUAAAUUUGCUAAGAUUUCAAAAUUUUAAGAAGUUCCAGCUUGAAGGAAACAAAAGCUUUCUAACUCAAAAUGUUGAAGAAAGACUAUAUUUUAAUGUUUUCAAAAAAUAAAUAAAUCAAGGAGCAAUAGGAAAUUGAGCCUUUUCUUAGCCAUUAGUCUGAGUCAUAACACAGAUCGGUAACAAAUGCUGUGUAUUUCAGUAGGAGAGCACUCCAGUGACUAACUUUUUUUCCUAUCCGGUUGACUGCAGUGACAUUUGGGUCAGGCCUACUAAGAUGGUUCUCCUAACUGUGCCAGUGCCAGAAAAAUGCUUGCAUGCUGAUAAGUCAAUGGAACAUCAAAGAGAAAUAUUCAUUUUUGUAGUCAAGAACAAGAUAUUUGAUGGUGGAACUAAUCCCUUGGCAAUAAAAAAUUUCCUUUACAGUCAAUUCUAUGAUUAAGCCAAAGCCACUUCUUUGUUCCUCCACCUGUCCCCGUGAGUCAGCAACGCUUUCCUCUUGCUUUUCCUCCAAGUCAGAUGACAGUGCCUCUCCUGGGCUGCAGACGCACAAGUGUUUUGCCUACAGUUAUGACUUGUUUAGCUUUUGCAGUGUUGGCAGCCUCUCUGAGCUCUGGCACACUUUCUUCCAAAUGGGAGAGUCUGGAGGGGGCAGUUUAUUUCUCAUACUGAUCGUGGUUUUGUUACUCUAAAAAUCAGGAGUUUGAAAAUCUCAUCACAACCAUUCGUAAUUUGCUUAGAACUGUAACAAAAAUGCUAAGUUUCAUCCUUAAAAGAGAAGUACUGAAAUGUUUAAGAUUUAAUCCCAUGGGAUUCUAAAAUAUAUAUAAUAGUAAUAGUAUAAUAGACAUCUUUGGGCCAAAUUAGCUCAUUGCGUUUAUCCCUUACCUGCAACUCUGAUGGGCACAAAGACAUGUCCACUUGGUAGUGUUGUACAUGUGAGUUACGCUGUUGUAACAUCUCUCUGAAAAGAGAUUCUUUUUUUGCAAGGACACCUUUGAAAUUCCAUCUCGUCAGUGUGUAAAGUUAUAACAGGAGCAAGAUGUUGUCCUCAAGUACCAGGCUGAGAGAUUAAUUCAAAUUUUGUUGCACUUUUGCUCUGAGUUAAGGUCAAUUGCAUGAAUGAACUUAAUAUUUAGUUUCCAUACAGGCAGAUCUAUAAUUCACUAUAUAUGCUUUAGCAUAUAUCAUAACUACAUUUUGCCUCUGAUUCUCUAUACUGAGGUAAGUAUUUGGUGGCAUUUGCCAGAUGUUCUUCCGAAGCCAAUGUGAAUAUCAACAACAUGAAGUAAGAGGUGCCACCUGUACCAGUGUCAUGCCAGGCCAGGCAGUGUGCUUCCCACCUAAUCACAGAGAGAAAGAAUCUGUGUGACUCAGAGCAGGCAAAGGAAAAUAAAUGUCAGACCUCUGGACUGAGAGCUCA